GGGCGGGGCAGCGGCGCUGACAGUCCCCAUGGCGGCUGCGCCGGAGCCCGGGGAACCCGGGAAGGGGAAGCAGGUGAACCUUAAGUUUGCAGACUACUUAGGACUUCCCUGGUGGCUCAGAUGGUAAAGCAUCUGCCAACAAUGUGGGAGACCCAGGUUCGAUCCCUGGGUUGGGAAGAUCCUCUGGAGAAGGAAAUGGCAUGGACGGAGGAACAUGGUAGGCUACAGUCCAUGGGGUUGUCAAGAGUCGGACAUGACUGACUUCACUUCACUAGGAAGUAAGAGGAAUGCUAAAUGCCUUGAACAUUACAAGUAGAACUACUUCAGAAGGACUUCAGGCUUCGAUUCCUUCAAUUUCUGAGACUCACAGUUCAGAUACUAUCAUAUUGUAUAAACUCAAGACUUUUAUUACAGUAUUCUAUAUUUGCUUUUAAGCCAUCACUAGUCUUUCAGAUUUAUCAGGAGGCUGUGACAAUUCUCUUACUAGGAAAGGGGAAAAAAAAAUCUUCGUAUAUCCUUAGCCAGUUUUGAGUCAGGGUGGCAUUAGUGGUCAAGAACCCGCCUGCAGGUAGACCUAAGAAAAUUCCCUGGAGAGCACGGCACGGCACCCCACCCAACUCUGGUAUUCUUGCCUGGAGAAUCCCAUGGAGAAGUCUGGCAGGCUGCGGUCCAUGCGACUGACGUGAUUAAACACACAUGCAGAUCUACAGUUAUGUCCUUAGUUCUGUUAAUCCUUCUAUGUGAACCUUGAAAGGGUUAAAUGCUCCAAUGAAAAUGACAGGCUUUCAGGGUCAGACUGACUUCCACUCUGCCACCACUUAUGAGGCUUCUACUUAAACCCUGAGCUUGUUUCAGAAAUGUCACAAAGGCUGAGAGAAUUAAAAACGAGGAGUAGAGCUUGGUGCCCAUGACCCCUUAGCGCCUCUGGGUAAGUGCACCAGCACUGGCUUCUCAACCUUGGCGCUGCUGACCCCCACCGAGGCCGUUUUUGUUGGAGGUGAUACAUGUUUAGCAGGACCAUCUUUGGCAUCUGAAACCAUGUAUUGGUUUUAGAAGGUAACACUUAACAAGAUGUUUAUCUUUCAAAGCAAGCUGGAUUAUUCUACAAUUUGCAAUUUCAAAAAUUUACUUAAGUCUCCAAAGCAGUGUUUCUCCCAAUCUGGUGGUUUGGGGUGGGGGUGUGGUCAGUUUCCUAAACAUAAAUGCCCAUGAGUCAGAGUCUAAGGGUGGGACUCGAAAAUCUCUGAAAAAGCUCAGGCAGUUACCUAGUUGACUUAAAUAGCACCCUUUCAGAUGUCCAGCAAGUUUACACACCUGGCAAAGAACUGCACUUGAUCAUUUUAUCCAAGUGCCCCCCUCACCAAAAGCUGGCACAUUCUGGUGUAUCCUGGGGUUACACUAGACUCCAUAAUGGAGGAGAAUCCAAAUGAAAAGGUCCAGAUGCCUUGAUAGAGCUUGUGCUGUCUUGGUGGGAAUAAGCAGUGUCUGGCAUGCUGUGGCUAACACUUAAUGGUUCCUUUCAUUCUCUGCUUAAAUGGGAAAGCCAUCUUAACCUUCUCCUGUGAUAGAAGCUGCUGGUCUCACUUCCAAGACAUUAAAAACCACCACCCCCAACCUCAGUCUUUCUAGCACCCUUUUCCCACCCAGGGCAAUGGCCUACCUUCAGAACAGUUCACACCCUCCCCUCUGGGCCCAUAAAUGCCACUGGGCUCUUGACCUGAAGGUAAGGAACAAUCUUCUUUUUGUUGCUAAAUUAAAUGAAAAGUUAAAUCCCAACCUCUUGUAUACAAAGAUUUGUACUGAAGAACCUGCCACUGGGGUCCACCAACUUUAAGAAGCACCUGCUACAUUCAAACGUGUUGCGGCGGGGGACAGGCAGAGACGAAAGAAAAAAGACAGUUUUCUGAGAGUGUAUAUCUUUUGCUUUAUUAGAAACCAAGUCACAUUGUCUUUUCUGCAGAAGCUUUAGCCAAAGCAAACACAGUCAAUAAUACCUUUAUGUUUCAACCUUGAAUCUAACUUGCCCUUCACUGUCCUUUCCCUAUUCCUUCCAAUCCAGUCUUCUUUUUCCCUUAUAGUGUAUUACCAUCUAGGUAUCAUCUCAUUCCUAAGAAUGGGCAAGUGACUUCCUUUUUAAAAGUUACAUUACUGAAAAAAAAUUUUCCCCCAAAUGAAUAGGAGAGUGCUGCAGCAAAACAUUAAGUGUGACUUUAAAAAAUGUCUGCCCCCCCCAACCCCAAUGUACACAGUGAGAAUGACAAGACAUCAGGUUGAAAAUGUCACUCUUAAAGUGGCAGUGUUUUUCAAAGAGGGAGAACAAAUCCAUAAAUCCAAUGCAGACUGUAUGAAGAAUUUAAAAACCAUUUUAGACUUGAAAGAAAUUAUCACCUAGCCAAACCCCUUCAUUACAGGCUGCAGGCCAAAUAAAAAAAUAUAUCCUACAGGUUACAGAAGUUAGUGGCAGAGCUGAGACUAAAAUCCAACCCUCUUAGAUUUCCACUUUUUUCCAUCACAUCUAGAUGUGGUUACUAUGUACUUCAACAAAUAAAUCAAGUGCAACUUCGUAUCACAGGUAAGGAAACAGACAAGGGACUUGUCAAAAUAUUUAUUAUUAUAAACAAAACUGAAAUGCUGUUACUACUUAACACAGAUAAAAUCUGCAGUCAUCCUUAAAGGAAUUUAAAACAGUAUACUAAAUAUUAUAAGUAACAUGGUUAGAACAAUUUCACUUUCCCAUCUGUUUCUCAAAUUGUAAUUAUGCUGCCAUUUACCUUCAGUGAUAGCCAAAUCCCCAAGAGAUUCCAGAGAGAGAUUCAAAGAGCUCAUGAAAUAAUGUAUGCCCCUAUCUCCAAACCAGCUGAUUAACAAAUUAUGACAUAAGCAUGAUCCCGUAUCUCUUCAGGUUUAAUUUACUACUUAGUACUUUGUGGUCAAAUUCUCAAGGUUUCCAUUUUAGAUUCAUUCAUAUUAGAUACCAAAGCAGGAUGGUUUGUUUUUAAUCUUUGCCAAACCACCCUGAAGUAAAAUAUUCUUUAACGCAAUGUAAUUUUUAAUUUUUCCUAGCCCUUUAAACUCCUAGGAAUUUUAGAUGUUGAAAACAUUCCCUGUGCACGGGAUUCGGUAUUAUAUGGCUCAUUAGGAUCUGUUGUGGCUGGCCUUGGACAUUUUUUGUUAACUAGUGAGUAUAUCUGUUUUUCUUCAUGUAUAAAAAACAUUUCUCCAUGUGUUUACAGUUUUGUUCUAGAUGAAGUAUCACAGUCACGAUUAUAGUGUUUAUGAUUCCUUUCGACAGGCAGAAUUAGAAGAUCAUGUGACGUUGGAGUAGGAGGAUUUAUCGUGGUGACUUUAGGAUGCUGGUAUGAGUGUUAAGUAUUCAAGAAGAUUUUAACAGGUUAAUCUAAUUCCAAAGCACAUGCUAUACUCAGCAAUCUCCCACUGAGAGAUUCCCACCCUUACUUAAGAUUCUCUUACAAAAUGAUAUUGCUGGACUGGCUUUAAUCUUUUAGAUAUCUAUAUAUACACACAUGUGUUUUGUGUCAUUUGUCAAAUGAACAGAUGAAUGUGACAUCAGACACUGCAUUAAUGCCAUGUCAGGGUUUAUACUUCAUUUAGGGAAGCCUCAAUCUUUUAUCCUAAUGCUCACUUCAUCCCUGCCUAUGGUAUAUACCACUGACAGUCAUCUGUAAGCUUUUAAAAAUUUCAAAUUAGUUCCCAUAGGUAUGUUAUAUUGGUAAUUUAUUCACGUUCUCCUUACUAGGUUCCACUGUAGGUAUAAUUAUGCAAAGCUAAGAAUCCAGGAAAGACUUGCCA